GCUGCUGCUGCUGCUGUUGCUGCUGCUGCUGCUGCUGCUGCUACUGCUGCUGUGGAUUGCAGAGGGGUGAGGAGGAGUGGCUGCAGCAGCAGGGGGUGUCACUGCAGCAAGUGCUGCUGGACUCCCCCAUAUG
rnacentral:snoRNA from 1 species